rnacentral:lncRNA from 1 species
UUUCAGUAUAACCCAUAAACUGACUUGAUCGUCGGAGGGUUAAUGUCGGAAAAACUUCUGGCGCCUCUUACCGUCUUUUGUGGUUUCAAGUGUUGACUAAUCAUCAGUUCGCAGAUUAUCUGCUCAUAAUCGAAGGAUUUUCGUACAGAUUAACAAACUACUUCCCCACUAAACAAAUUAAAUGUUGAUGCAAGGGUCUGGUGUUAAGUAGCUAACCAUCUCGACUAGAUUUCAGUAUCAACAAUAUAUAUAUGUGUGUGUGUAUGUAUGUAAAGAAAAACUCUCUCCUUAAUUUUUGGUUUCUUAUCUAUAGAAUUUGAAAAAUCAUGCUAGCUAGCUGGCUCUUUCAUCCAAAUUAUAUAUAUUGGUAUAUUGCUAGAUGACUUGACUAUGCAUGUUAUGAAUUAUAUUCCACGGCAUGCUUGAUGACUUGGCUCUUUUGUCCAAAUUAUAUAUAUUGGCAUCUUGCUAGUUGACUUGACUAUGUAUGUUAUGAAUUGUAUUCCACGGCAUGCAUGAUUGAUUGGCGGCUCAAAGCAAAAAAUUGAAAGCAUCUUUUCAAUCACUUUAAUGGCUUUUUAAUUACGUAUUGAUGCAUUGAAGGGUAAGUACUAUUAACGCUUGUUCUUGUCAACUAAUAAAUUAAAACAAAAUUACAAUGAAUUUGUUUUAGCUAUUUGCCAGUGUCCCCUCUUUUAUUCCUUUAACGAUUUUUUAUUUAUAAUACAAAUUUUUUGGUAUUCUAAGUCGUUAAUGUCUACUUAUUUUGAUUUGCUUCUACUAUUUAAUUAGAGUUUGAUUCAGAGUUUAUAUUUAUCUCAUUCUCAAAGUUAGUUUCUGAAGCUUUUAGAAUUUUUUUUUGGGCAUUCACCAUCACUUUAUCUUGUAUGCGCAUACUCCAUUUUAAUUAAUUAUUUGACUUUUCAUUCUCCAUGUUCCAUUCUCCCUGCUUACUCUACUUUAAUUAAUUAUUUUAUUUUUUAUGCUCCAUGCUUCAUGCUUCAUUGUCUUUUGUGCAUGGCUUUACAUGCUUUACUUUUCCUGCUAACAAUUGCUCCUUCAUUUUCAAUGCUUAAAAGAGCUAUCUCCUCACCUAUAUAUAUUGGUUAUUGUCUCUUCCACCCAUCAACCAAGCUAAUUCUUACUUAUAUAAAUUGGUCAUUUUAUCCCCCAUUUGAAGGUGGCUGAAAUUUUGUACCUUUACACGUAUUUGUAACUUGUGGAGAACUUGUCACGAGCCUUGACCUCGAAUCCGGAGGGGUAAGUACUUGAAAAAGGCACUCCGACGCCUAAGUUAGUGUUUGAUUAAGAUUAAAGAAAGAAGAAAAAUGGAGAAGAUGAGUUUCUCUCUCUAGAUAUGAACAAUGUUUUUUUUUAGGACAAAGACCCUUUUUUUCUUUUAGAGAUAUGUCUCUAUUUAUAGAUGAUGAGUGAUGUGGAUUUAGAGUUUUGUUUUGAACCCUCAAUCUAACGACAUGUGUCACCCAUCAUUCAUGUACACGUGGAGGUGAAUAUGAACUAGGGAAUUAUUCUGGCCCUUUAUGUUUCCUUACUCGUAUGACUUUUGGACGUGAUUUCCUUAGGCUAAUGAAUUACAGAAUUAAUUCCCCCUUCUUGCCAUUUUUAUAAGUUUCGGAAGAAUUUUUUCCUUAGAUGUUAUUCCUUCAGAAUAGCUUUUGUUAUCUAAUAAGAUGGACACGUGGCAUGAUUAGGUGCCUUUUGGAAUAUGGAACGUACACUACUACCCCCGCAAGUGUAUUUUCUUUAGAAAAUACUUUAAUUGAAAUAAGAAGUUAUAACUUUUGUUUGACUGACCACGUAGCCUUUUGGAAAGGACUAUGCGUUAGGCGUUUAGAUAUAUUUUGGAAGGAAUGUGUCAAUGAACUUUUCUCUUAUUGAGUUAGGAAAAAGUGAAUUGUUUCCUCUGAAUUGAAAUUCUUAGAUGAAAUGCUAGCUCUUUGAAUUCUUCCUCUAAAUAGAAGUUUCAGGACGAAAUGGUAGUUAUUCUUUGAGCUUUUCCCUUGAACUAAAGUUUCGAGAAGAAAUGUUAGUUUCCGCAACUUCUUUUCUUUUUUUGUAAACCAAAGUUAUAAGCGAAAAUGUGAAUUUUUCAUACGCAUUCCAGUUAGUCCAGGAAUGGUUUACCAAAAUUUUUAUUUUUACUCUAGAAUUUUGGUAAGCAAAUAUUUUAUGCCUUGGUUUAAAAUGACUCAUUUUUGUCUUGCCUUGUAUAUGGUUGGUCAUACCUUAGUUUGACUUUCUUUUGUUGGCUUUGGCUUUUGUUUUCUUUAGUUAGCUUUUGCCUUGGUUUUUCCUUAACUUUUGUUUGUCACGGUCUUUCCUUAGCCUCUGUUUACCUUGUUGGGUAUUGAUUUUCUCAUGGCUUGGCAUGCUCUUCUUUUCUUAACUUUUGUUUAACUAGGUUUUCCUUAACCUUCAGUUACCUUACAUGGCAUUGAUAUUUUCUGGGCAUAGGAAAAAAUGACUUAUUCCAGAGGAAUAUUAUCAUAACAUUUUUCUCCUUGUUGGCCUAAAGAUGUUUGUCCUCGUCAUUAGCUUUAGGAGAAUGAAAUAUUUUUCAAAAAGAUAUUGUUAUGAAAUUUUUUGUCUUUAUUGGCCUUCGGAAUUUUUUUUUCUUAGUAGAAGAAAAGUGACUUAUUUUAGAGGAAUAAUAUUACGAAACUUUUCUCUUUAUCGACCUAGGGAAAGUUUUCCCUUUUUAUUGACCUCAGGAAAAAUGAGUUAUUCCAAGGAAUUGUUUGGAAAUUUUUCCUAAUCAUUAUAAGGAAAAAUGAUCUAUUCCAGAAGAAUAUAAGUAAAAAACUUUUCCUUCUUGGCCUAGACAAGUUUUUUUUUUCUUGCUUUGUUGGCUCAGGGAGAAGCAAGCUAUUCUGAGUGAAUAUUAUUAUGGAACUUUUCCUCGUACUUGACCUAGGAAAAGUUUCCCCUCUUUCUUAGCUUAGGGGAAGUUUUUCCUCUUUCUUAGCCUAGGAAAAAUGAGUGAAUCCGGAAGAAUAUUAUUGGGGGAUUUUACUGCCUUCUUGAAGCAGAGAAGAGUGAUAUUUUCUUAGCUUAGCUUAUUCUUAUGGCCCUGACUUUUGAUAUACUAAAUAUUUAAUGGGAUAUUACUUCCUCCUUAAACUAGUAACAAUCUGGCUAUUGUUAUUAAUGUGUAAUGGUAAUGAUUAAGUAUUUAUUGGUUUAGGAGAAAAUGAAAUAUUCUAAAGGAAUAUCAAUGAGAACUUUUCUUCUUUAUUGGCUUAGGAAAGUUUUUCCUCUUUGUUCUCUUUGUGGAAGCAGGGAAAAGUGAACUAUUAACUGCAGGAAUAUGAUUUGAGAACUUUUCUCUUUGUUGCCCUAGGAGGUUUAGAGAAAUUUUCUCCUUGUUGUCCUAGGAGGUUUCUCCUCUUUAUUAGCCUAGGAAAAAGUGAACUAGUCUGAGUGAAUGUUAUUAGGGAAUUUUUCCUCAUCAUUGGUUUAAGGAAAAUUUUCCUCACUGUUAGCCUAGAAAGCUUUUCCUCUCUGGGCUAAUUUUUUCUUCAUUGGCAUACGGAAAAGUGACAUUUUCUGGAGGAAUAUUAUUAUAAUUUUUUUCCUUUUUGGCAUUGGGAAUAUUUUUCCUCUUUGUUGGCUUAAGAAAAUUUUCCUUCUUCUUGAAGUGGGAAAA